rnacentral:rRNA from 1 species
CCCUUAGAUGUUCUGGGCCGCACGCGCGCUGCACUGUUUGAUUCAGCGAGUCUUAACCUUGACCGAAAGGUUUGGGUAAUCUUCUAAAGUCAAACGUGAUGGGGAUCGAUCAUUGCAAUUAUUGAUCGUGAACGAGGAAUUCCUAGUAAAUGCAAGUCAUCAGCUUGCGUUGAUUACGUCCCUGCCCUUUGUACACACCGCCCGUCGCUACUACCGAUUGAAUGGUUUAGUGAGAUCUCCGGAUUGGCUCUGUAGGUCCCGCAAGGGAUUUAUUAGUAGCCAAGAAGCUGCUCAAACUUGAUCAUUUAGAGGAAGUAAAAGUCGUAACA